GUAGGGAAUAUUGGGCAAUGGAGGCAACUCUGACCCAGCCAUGCCGCGUGCAGGACGAAGGCGCUCAGCGUUGUAAACUGCUUUUAUCUGGGAAGAACUGUGGGAUUGCGAUCUUACCUGACGGUACCAGAGGAAUCAGCACCGGCUAACUCCGUGCCAGCAGCCGCGGUAAUACGGAGGGUGCGAGCGUUGUCCGGAUUUAUUGGGUUUAAAGGGUGCGUAGGUGGUGGUCUAAGUCUGGUUUGAAAGCUGGUCGCUUAACGAUCAGAUGUGGCUGGAAACUGGGCCACUUGAAUGAGUUGGCGGUAGCUGGAACGGGUCAUGUAGCGGUGAAAUGCAUAGAUAUGACCCAGAACCCCGAUUGCGAAGGCAGGCUACUACGACUUGAUUGACACUGAGGCACGAGAGCAUGGGGAGCCAACAGG
rnacentral:rRNA from 1 species